rnacentral:rRNA from 1 species
CAAAAACAUAGCUACGUGGCAUUACACGUGGUGUUUUCUGCUCAAUGAAGUUUAAAUAGCCGCAGUACCCUGACUGUGCAAAGGUAGCGUAAUCACUUGUCUUUUAAUUGGAGUCGCGUAUAAAUGAAUAUAUGGGSGCCUACUUUACCAAUAAUAAACUUUGAAGUUGCUUAGCGGGUGCAAAUACCCACAAAUAUAAAAAAGACGAGRAGACCCUAGAAAUUUUUACACACGUUUUUGUUGGGGCAACAUGGUAACAGGUAAUUUAUUAUAUGUACCUGAAAUUUAUUUGAUAGAUUAAAUUACUCUAGGGAUAACAGCAUAAUUAAUAAACGUUUGUGACCUCGAUGUUGGACUAGGAAGUUAUAACUUAAAAGGUAGGUGAUUUUGCUCUGUUCG